AAGUAGUGCCCUCUUGCUCAAGGACAGCACUGAUUGUUCCAUUUGGAAAAGCUUACAGGCAAAGGAGGGCAGCAACCAUCCAUCAAACCCUAUCCACAAAGCUAAGUCUUGAAAGGUUUCUGCUGCCUAAUCUCAGACAUAAAGGUUGAAUUCUAUGCUUGCUUUUAUCAUCACAUUCACUUAUUGGAUAUAUUUGAAAUCGUAAAAGACCUGGAAGAGACCACUGACAUCACUUAGACCAUCCUCCUCAUUUUUCAGAAAAGUGAAUGAGACCCAGAAGAGUAAAGCAUACGCUUGAAAAAAGGUGAAUUCAGACCAGUGGUAUUAAGGGAGUUUAGCGCAGAUAUUGGAAGGAGGGCAACUAAAUUCAGCUACUUAUAUGUUAUGCCCUCAUCAAGGCAGCAGAAAUUUCAGGAAGACAAGGCUAUGAUGAUGUAUGCUAUUCACGUGAACGGAGAUUACUCUCUUUAUUGAAUCAGAGACCUAUAAGCCUGUGAUUCUGCAGGUGGCACAAAGGGAACAAAUGUGUCUUUCCAUUGUCAGAGAUAUUUCGGAGAAGAGAAAGAAACAACUUUUGAGACAGCUGGGACAAGUGAGAGAAAAGCCUCUUGAAUGUAAGCCAUUUGAAAGGAAGGAUUAUGUCAGUGUGAUGCUGUGGAAGGAGAACCAGUAUUGAAUCCAGAAAACCUUGACCCAAAUCAUUGUUUAAUUCCAUCUAGCUGGAUGUACUUGGAAAAGUCCAUAAUCUGGACU